UACGUAGGCAGCAAGCGUUGUUCGGAGUUACUGGGCGUAAAGGGUGUGUAGGCGGUUGUUUAAGUUUGGUGUGAAAUCUCCCGGCCCAACUGGGAGGGUGCGCCGAAUACUGAAUGACUAGAGUGUGGGAGAGGUGAGUGGAAUUCCUGGUGUAGCGGUGAAAUGCGUAGAUAUCAGGAGGAACACCGGUGGUGUAGACGGCUCACUGGACCAUAACUGACGCCGAGACACGAAAGCGUGGGUAGCAAACAGG
rnacentral:rRNA from 1 species